rnacentral:rRNA from 1 species
CAGUCGCCGCGGUAACACGUAGGGUGCAAGCGUUAAUCGGAAUUACUGGGCGUAUAGCGUGCGCAGGCGGUUUGUUAAGACAGAUGUGAAAUCCCCGGGCUCAACCUGGGAACUGCAUUCGUGACUGGCAAGCUAGAGUGUGGCAGAGGGGGGUGGAAUUCCGCGUGUAGCAGUGAAAUGCGUAGAUAUGCGGAGGAACACCGAUGGCGAAGGCAGCCCCCUGGGCCAACACUGACGCUCAUGCACGAAAGCGUGGGGAGCAAACAGGAUUAGAUACCCCCGUAGUCCCUGUCUCUUAUAU